rnacentral:rRNA from 1 species
AUUGAACGCUGGCGGCAGGCUUAACACAUGCAAGUCGAGCGGGGGAAGGUAGCUUGCUACCGGACCUAGCGGCGGACGGGUGAGUAAUGCUUAGGAAUCUGCCUAUUAGUGGGGGACAACAUCUCGAAAGGGAUGCUAAUACCGCAUACGUCCUACGGGAGAAAGCAGGGGAUCUUCGGGCCUUGCGCUAAUAGAUGAGCCUAAGUCGGAUUAGCUAGUUGGUGGGGUAAAGGCCUACCAAGGCGACGAUCUGUAGCGGGUCUGAGAGGAUGAGCCGACAAACUGGGACGUAGAAACGGACCAGACUCCUACGGGAGGGAGCAGGGGGGAAUAAUGGACAAUGGGGGGAACCCUGAUCCAUCCAUGCCGGGUGUGUGAAGAAGGCCUUAUGGUUGUAAAGCACUUUAAGCGAGGAGGAGGCUACUCUAGUUAAUACCUAGAGAUAGUGGACGUUACUCGCAGAAUAAGCACCGGCUAACUCUGUGCCAGCCGCCGCGGUAA